AAAAUGAAACCACAUGUGAUGCUAUCAAUGGCAGAUGUCCUAGUGGAUGUUCUGAAAAGUGGAUAGGACAAUUUUGUAACAUAUCUGCUGUUAUGGACUGUCUGGAAAUUUUGAAAAAGGGAAACAAAAGAACGGGUAUUUACCAGAUCCAUCCGUGGAACAACUCUACAUAUAAAGAAGUACUGUGUGAUAUGGUCACAAUGGGAGGAGGGUGGACGGUUUUUCAAAAGAGGAUUGAUGGAUCUGUGUCUUUUUCAAGGAACUGGACAGAAUAUCAGCAAGGGUUUGGGAACGUGUCUACUGAAUAUUGGUU